rnacentral:rRNA from 1 species
UGGGGAAUCUUGGACAAUGGGGGCAACCCUGAUCCAGCCAUGCCGCGUGAGUGAUGAAGGCCUUAGGGUCGUAAAGCUCUUUCGCCUGUGAAGAUAAUGACGGUAGCAGGUAAAGAAACCCCGGCUAACUCCGUGCCAGCAGCCGCGGUAAUACGGAGGGGGUUAGCGUUGUUCGGAAUUACUGGGCGUAAAGCGCGCGUAGGCGGUUGCUUAAGUCGGAUGUGAAAGCCCCGGGCUCAACCUGGGAACUGCAUUCGAUACUGGGCGACUAGAGUACGAGAGAGGGAGGUAGAAUUCCACGUGUAGCGGUGAAAUGCGUAGAUAUGUGGAGGAAUACCGGUGGCGAAGGCGGCUCACUGGCUCGAUACUGACGCUGAGGUGCGAAAGUGUGGGGAGCAAACAGGAUUAGAUACCCUGGUAGUCCACACCGUAAAACGAUGAAUGCCAGUCGUCGGGUAGCAUGCUAUUCGGUGACACACCUAACGGAUUAAGCAUUCCGCCU